UAGAGCGAAUAGUGAAUCUGGGGCUCAACCUCACAGGCUAUUAUUCGAACUCACUGACUCGAGAACAGCAGAGGUAACUGGAAUUUCUGAAGUAGGGGUAAUAUCCGUAGAUAUCAGAAGGAACACCAAUGGCGUAGGCAGGUUACUGGGCUGUUUCUGACACUGAGGCACGAAAGCGUGGGGAGCGAACCGGAUUAGAUACCCGGGUAGUCCACGCCGUAAACGAUGGAUACUA
rnacentral:rRNA from 1 species